GAUGAAGAACGCAGCGAAAUGCGACAAGUAAUGUGAAUUGCAGAAUUCCGUGAGUCAUCGAAUCUUUGAACGCACAUUGCGCCCACUGGUAUUCCGGUGGGCAUGCCUGUUCGAGCGUCAUUAUCCUCCCUCAAACCCCGGGUUUGGUGUUGGACCCAAGUUGUGUGAACAACUGGUCUCAAAGACAAUGACGGCGUCCGUGGGACCCUCGGUGCAACGAGCUUUUAGGAGCACGCAUCGAGUUGCAAGGACCUUCCGGGCCGGUCUCCUUUACCAUUUUACAAGGUUGACCUCGGAUCAGGUAGGAAUACCCGCUGAACUUAAGCAUAUCAAUAAGCGGAGGA
rnacentral:misc_RNA from 1 species